CGGCCCACCCCAGAGGCCACCCAGCGCCAAGCGCCCCUUCCCUCCACUGCCCACGGCCUCCGAGUCCAGGGGAGCUGCGUGGGCGGUUCAGGCCAGUCCAGCCAGGAGCUGCAGCCUCUCCUACUGGGACCCGGAGGCCGCCUCCUGUUCCCUCUCCUGCCCAAGCGCCUCCCCAGCCUCCCCACCCACCAAGGGGAGCCUUGGCCCAUCAGCCUUGGGAUGCCCUGCCUACCACUUGGAGGUCCUCCCCAGCCAGAAAGGCGGGUGUCUUUCGGUUCCUGUACCAUCCCGGCCAGCUGCCCACCACUCUGCAGAACCGGCCAAAGAGAAGUGCCAAGGCCAGGCUGUUCAGGCCACCCCAGGUCCUCUGAUCCCACCCUGGACACAGAAGGUGGCUCUUCCUGCCACAGCCCUAGGACAUGGUGGCCUCCUUCCAGAAGCAGUCCCUGUGGACCAAGGUCUUGGGGACCUGAGGGAGAGGUUUCCCUCACAGUCUGCAGCAUGCUGGUUGCCUGUCUAGAGAGGGCUCUGUGGAUUUCCAAGCCCAAGCAUGACCGUGCAGUUCUCUGGAUGGCUCCCAGGACACACUUGCUCACGGGAAUGGCCCGGGGACCGUGCUCUCCCCUGGGCAGAUGCUCUGAGACACACUGCCAGGGCUCACUUAAAACCACUUUGCUCUGACUUGAAACAAGUCACUUAACUCUUCUUGGACCUAGUUUGGGAAAAAAAACAUUCUGUUUAAAUGCCAAGAGUUGUGUGUUCCCUCUGAGCUCCAGGUUCACACUCUGCAAUGAGCGUGGCGGUCGGUGCUCAGGGAUGGGCAGCCGCUGUUCCCUCCCAGGCACAGCAACUGAGGCAGGCAGCAGGGCCCCAGCCCACAGCCCCCUGGGAAGCCGAGAGCGAGUGAGAUGGAGGAGCCGAGGCUGCAGUCAGACCCACUCCCUGGAGGGAGGCGGGCCUCGCCAGGGCCUAGCACCUAGCAAGUACCACCAGAUGUGAGGCGCCUUCCAGCCGAAGGCCCAGGGGAAGCUGCGCUCCCUCUACACCCUGUGACCGUCAGGACACAGCCCAGAGCAGCCUCUGAAGAAACACUGGGCAGGUCCUGACACGGGUGCACCUCUGGCACCCAACACCCGUGUGUAAGGCCUGCCCAGCCCUUUGCUUCUUGGGUGCCUUCCCCUCAAGCUGCCAGCCUGGUCCACUGGCCACAAGCUCAGCGUGGUUCCUGGCUCUUUCACAUGUCCUCCCGCUCCAACAUCCUCUUGUCCGUCAGCAGGACGGCUCUGGGGCUUGGCUCCUGGGCCUGGUCUCUGGUGCUGGCAAGAGUCUCACCCACUGCUGGGUUGCCUCCCAGAAUCUGCCUCCACCCCUCGGACUGGGGGCCUUUGGACUCAGCUGACAGACACCAGCACUGAGACCAGCAUCUCCCCGCAGCCCUGCCACCUCUGCUUUUCCCCAGCUGGCACACAUCUCUGGUUAGGGGGAGGGUCACCAAGCUAUUGUGGGACCCGGACCGAGCAUUUUUCUCUGAAGACCCAGGCGCUAAGCUGCAGGAAGCAGCUCCCUGCAGCCUCCUGUGUCCACACUGCCAGCAUUCUUGCCUGCGGUGCUCAGAUGACCCCCGUCCUCCCAGAUCGAGCUUGACGCUCCCAAAGACCAGCAGGUGGUGGCCAAGCCCUGGCUGGGGCCUCGGAGGCAGCAUGACCAUUUCAAAGUCUCAAACGGGGGAACCCACCAGGGUGGCACCUUGGGCAACUCGGUUCUUCCUGACGGGCCCGGCCUGGCCAUACUCAGCCUCAGACGCCCACCUGCACACGGACUGUGGCUGGUCCAGACCUUCGUGCCACUCUGCAGUGCGAGCUGUCAGCAGGCCUUGGACGGGACAGAAACAUCAUCCUCAUGUCAAGCUUUCCGCACUGACUAGACUCCAGCAGCACUUGGAUCUGGCACAGCCACGAAUCUGAGUACUUCCCACCCCACCAGUCAGGGUUCCGGCCGGAGGCAGGCGGUGCUUGGGGGUCGUCUCAAGAACUGGAUGCAGGCUGGUAGGAAACGUUCCUGGACCCCUUCAGGUGGGAUCUCAACGCUGAGAGCUGCCUCUGGGAAUGACUCUGCUGCCCUCGUUAGCUAGAAGGUGCCCAGAGGCGGUGGAAGCCUGGGGUCUCCGCUGACCACACCAGCUUGUGCACAGCUAGGCUGCAAGGAGAGCAGUCCCCGGGGCACCGAGGGGACAGGUGGUGCUUGGCUUCUGCCACAGCCGCUUGGGACCUCUUGUCCGUGCAUGCGUGUGUGCGUGUGUGUCUACAUGUCUGCACGUUUUAGCAGUAAAAUAAAGACUCCGCUGGCGACAAGACUGCUCCUUACUGCAGGAUCCAGGACAUCACAUCGGGAACCUGCAACGAGCCCUCAGACGGAUGCACCGACAAAAGGAAAUCCUCAGCAGGAAGUGACAGCAGAGGAAGCCCUGCCUGGGAGCCUGGGAGCAGGCUGGCUCCAACCAGCCCAGCUCAGCGCUGCGCCCAGCCCUGUCCUGACUCUCUCCAGGGCCACGGUGCACCGUAGGCCCCACACCGCUUUCUGCAGACACGUGGCGGAAGGCGAGCUGUGGCUCUCGUGUGGCUUCUCAAAGAGCAUGACGGCAGCAGAAACAAAAACAAAGCUCAGUGGAAGUUUUCAUAACUUGAUCGUUGUUUAGCUGCCAGGUACCUAGGGUCACGAUGAUGCGAUCGCUCAAAAAAAGUGCCUCCCAUAAAGUCCUAACUAGUACAUCUCAAACCACCACUGCCACCCUGGGGAGUCCCCACGGAGACCUUUGGGGAGCCCGCCUCCUGACCGCCAGGCCUUCUUCCCCCAGCCAGGGACCCAGAGGCUCACUGUAAGGUCCCACCUCCUGUGACACUAACACAGGCAGUGUCAUCUUUAUUUUGGGAGCACUCA